GUUGAAGUUGAACCAGUAUUGAUAGUUAUCAAAGGCAUCCAUUGUGGCAUUAAUAUUAGGGUAGUAGUGGAAAUAUUACCUGGUCACUAAUCGAACUCUUUAUGAAUUUUUUAAUACAAUUUGAUCAUUGGCUAGUCCAAAAAUUAUGUAAAAGAGCUUUUAUCCUUUUACUUCAGAUCUUUUAACCAUUUCCGUCCUAUUUUUUUAUGAAUGUACAGAUUGUUAUAUAUUGUUUAUUACAUGUAUAAUGUUACUUAUGAUUGUAAUGUUUUUAUAAAUGUGAAAUGUUACCAAAUGAAUUUUAUUUUUUUGGAUAAUUCAUUUUUAUUUUGAUGAUUCAGUGGAUGAAACUUGUGUGAAUCUGUGAUAUUCCUAUGAGAUUUGUUCUAAAAUUUGUUGUCAAUUUUUUUUUUAGCUUAGACCAUUAGCAUACAUUUACUUUUCAGUUUCAAUUAUUUUGACAUUUAUCUUUCUUAAUACUUUGCACAGUUCCUUAUUAUCCCAGUUUGUCAAUUGGAAUUAGAUCUGUCUGAUUGAUUUCAGCUUUAAAAUGAAUCCAGAAAUGUCUCCUAUUCAACAGAUAACGAAAUCUUUGAAAUCUAAUCAGUUAUUUCCCUAUUUUAGUGGACUAGUAUAAAUUUAGAUACAAGUUUUAUAAUAUUUUUAUAUACAUGUACUACUUAUUUCCCUUUACAACCCAUUGUUACAUUCCUCAGUAUUCUGGGUCUUAUGACUAUGUAUUACAUGUAUUAUCAGUAUCUCAAUAACCAGUAUUGCAUUGUUGGAGCACCACCACUUUUACCAUAAUGAUUGUUUUACCAUUGUUGACCACCACCGGAUUUGAGACCACCUUGACCACCACCUGAUUUUGCAGCCACCUUAAUGUCCUGCCAAUUGUUGCCAGUUGUGACAGCAUGUGACGUACUGUGAUAGCCUUUUAUAUUUAUUUAUGUCAGGUUUUUCUGUGAAAUAAAUUAUUUUCAUGUUG
rnacentral:misc_RNA from 1 species